rnacentral:lncRNA from 1 species
AGCUAGCUUUCAACACAACAUUUUGUGAAAAACAUAAGAUUCCGAUAAAGGAGAUGUGAUCCAAUUUGCAAUUCUAGAAUAAACAUAUAAUUAAAUUAUGUCUAUACAAGUUGGAAAAAUGAAAAGCGCAGAAGAAGCUACUUUGCCAGCUAAGGCAUCCAUACCGAUGAUCAACAGACCCUAAAUAAAGGCAUUCAGCAGCUAUAAAGUGAGGCCUAAAAAAAGGUUAGACUUCACUAGAAUGGCAUAUUUUCUCCGACAGUCAAACGGAUAUGAAAAUGUUGGCUACAGACAGGAUAUAGAACAGAUCAAGAUUGUUGAAUCUGUGUGAUGACUCACUCGUGGAAUCAGCCUCCUAACAGUCACAUGCAAUGAAACCACAUUAUGUACAAUAUUCAUUGACUGUAACUUAGUAUAUAAAAUCCAG